rnacentral:rRNA from 1 species
GAUGAACGCUAGCGGCAGGCCUAACACAUGCAAGUCGAGGGGUAGAAGUUUUCGGACUUUGAGACCGGCGCACGGGUGCGUAACGCGUAUGCAAUCUGCCUUGUACUGAGGGAUAGCCCAGAGAAAUUUGGAUUAACACCUCAUAGUAUUUUAGUGUGGCAUCACAUUAUUAUUAAAGGUUACGGUACAAGAUGAGCAUGCGUCCCAUUAGCUAGUUGGUAUGGUAACGGCAUACCAAGGCUACGAUGGGUAGGGGUCCUGAGAGGGAGAUCCCCCACACUGGUACUGAGACACGGACCAGACUCCUACGGGAGGCAGCAGUGAGGAAUAUUGGUCAAUGGGCGCAAGCCUGAACCAGCCAUGCCGCGUGCAGGAUGAAGCAUCUAUGGUGUGUAAACUGCUUUUGUACGGGAAGAAACACUCCCUCGUGAGGGAACUUGACGGUACCGUAAGAAUAAGGAUCGGCUAACUCCGUGCCAGCCGCCGCAGUAACAC